ACUCCUACGGGAGGCAGCAGUGGGGAAUAUUGCACAAUGGGGGAAACCCUGAUGCAGCCAUGCCGCGUGUGUGAAGAAGGCCUUGGGUUGUAAAGCACUUUCAGUAGGGAGGAAGGUAGUGUAGUUAACACCUGCAUUAUUUGUACGUUACCUACAGAAGAAGCACCGGCUAACUCCGUGCCAGCAGCCGCGGUAAGUACGGAGGGUGCGAGCGUUAAUCGGAAUUACUGGGCGUAAAGCGCAUGCAGGCGGCCUGUUAAGUCAGAUGUGAAAGCCCGGGGCUUAACCUCGGAAUUGCAUUUGAAACUGGCAGGCUAGAGUCUUGUAGAGGGGUUAGAAUUUCGAGUGUAGCGGUGAAAUGCGUAGAGAUCUGAAGG
rnacentral:rRNA from 1 species